rnacentral:lncRNA from 1 species
UUGAGUCUCUAAAUACAUGGUACAAAAUUCAAAUACAAACUAAUUAUACAACAGUCGUGUAAAAUACGACAAAACAUAUGCUGUGAGUAUUAAUACAAAUAUUGUCAUCUAGACAAUAUCCACACUCAAUGGAGUCCUCAUUACAUUUAUUAUUACACUAUUUCAAAGAAUAGUGAGGACUACUAAUGCACCAUAUAGGACCAUCACACUGUUCCACGACUAGCCCCAGCUACGUUCUCAUUUCCUGA